rnacentral:snRNA from 1 species
AUACUUACCUUGUACAGGAGUAAACCGUGAUCAUCAAGGUGGUUCUCCCAAAGUGAGGCCCUUCCAUUGCACUCCGGUUGGGUUGACCUUUGCGAUCGCUCCAAAUGUGGGCGACUCGGGUACGUUAUUUCUAAGUGUGGGGUCUGCGUUCGCGCUCACCCCGU